rnacentral:rRNA from 1 species
CCCUUAGAUGUUCUGGGCUGCACGCGCGCUACACUGAUGCGCUCAACGAGUUUUAACCUUGCCUGGAAAGGUUGGGUAAUCUUUUUAAAACGCAUCGUGAUGGGGAUAGAUUAUUGCAAUUAUUAAUCUUCAACGAGGAAUUCCUAGUAAGCGCGAGUCAUCAGCUCGCGCUGAAUACGUCCCUGCCCUUUGUACACACCGCCCGUCGCUCCUACCGAUUGAGUGGUCCGGUGAGGCUUUGGGAUCUGAGCGGAAAGAGCGUUUCGCUGUUUCUGCUCGGAAAACUCAGUCGAACCUUAUCAUUUAGAGGAAGGAGAAGUCGUAACA